rnacentral:rRNA from 1 species
UACGUAGGGUGCGAGCGUUGUCCGGAAUUAUUGGGCGUAAAGGGCUCGUAGGCGGUUUGUCGCGUCGGGAGUGAAAACCCAGGGCUUAACCCUGGGCUGGCUUUCGAUACGGGCAGACUAGAGGUAUGCAGGGGAGAACGGAAUUCCUGGUGUAGCGGUGAAAUGCGCAGAUAUCAGGAGGAACACCGGUGGCGAAGGCGGCGCUCUGGGCCGGUACUGACACUGAGGAGCGAAAGCGUGGGUAGCAAGCAGG